rnacentral:tRNA from 1 species
GGGCGUGUGGUCUAGGGGUAUGGCGUUCGGUGAGUUCUAUUUUCCCAAAAGAAUAAUCCGAACAUAAAUUAACAAAAAUAGCUUCGCAUCUUCUCUGAUAGCGCUUUGCGAAAGGUCCGGGGUUCAAUUCCCCGUUCGUCCA